AGGGAGGGAGGCUAUGCGGAGUUACCGAGAGCGACCUCGCAGCCGCACACCUUGAGCCCUCCCUGCCUGGGCUGUGUCUGCAGGACGCCCCUGCACCCCUGCACCCCGGCCGGGGUCAGCACAAGGUAGAGGUCAGGUGAACAAAAGGGGAAGGUCCCAAGGGUGUGCAGGCUCACACAGGCGAACGGCCCGGCCCGCACGCGAGACCCACACAGGCGGGGGAGGGGAGGGGAGGGGAGGGCUGACCCGAGGGGCCAGAGCAGGCGUGGCCCCCUCCUCGGAUCAGGAGCCGGCCUCACCUUUGCAGUCCUUAUAUACCCGGACAAGCAUCCCAAACACGCGCCCUGGCCAAGUGGCCCCUCGGGCUGUGCUCUCUGACCAUAUUUAGUCAAGCAGGGGAAAAAAUAGCCUGUCAGCUGGGCCGCGGCUGGCCGGCCACCGGGAACAGGGUGGGAGCGCCAACGCCAUUGACGGCCGGUCCUGGGCCCAGGCUGCCGGGCUCUUCCCCUCCCGGCCCCUCCCCACGGGCCUCCCACCGGCCGUCCCUGCCCUGCCAUCCCCCUGCUAUUUUUAGCCCAGCCCAGUACAGAGGCGCCUCGCGGCAGCCGGGCACACACCUCUCGGCCACACAGCCCGCUCCUAGGGGUGCCCUGGGGCGACUCGGCGGCUCCCGAGACCCGCUGCCCCUUCCCCAUCCUUGGCCUCCAGCGGGCUGGGCGCCACCGCUGCCCCCUCCGCUUGGCCCUUUAGCCCGGAACUGGGGCCCAAAUCAGGGGGUGAGGGAACGGCCAGUUUUCCAGAGGCUCCCAAGCCAGGCCCGUGAUGACGACAGGUCACCUUGGACAGAGAGCCAGCCCAGCUCUUCCAGACCAGGACGGGGCACAGGACUCCCUUCCCCGGAGAAGGGGUGGUGUGUGUGGACCGUCCCAGGGGUCCCCAAGGUCCCCAGGACCAAGCCAGACGACAGAGAGCUCCGUCCAUUUAUCCACACAGCCAGCUUCUACAGCUAUUCCAGAAGCUUCUCUGUGGAUUACCUCUAUCUUCAAAGCACCCCUAAGAGCCAACACAGUCUCUGCAACGGCCUC